CUACGAAAGGUGCAAGCGUUGUUCGGAUUUACUGGGCGUAAAGAGAGUGUAGGUGGUUUAUUAAGUCGGAUGUGAAAUCCCGGGGCUCAACCUCGGAACUGCAUUCGAUACUGAUAGGCUAGAGUUUGAGAGGGGUAAGCGGAAUUCCGUGUGUAGCAGUGAAAUGCGUAGAUAUACGGAGGAACACCUGAGGCGAAGGCGGCUUACUGGACCGAUACUGACACUGAGACUCGAAAGCGUGGGUAGCAAACAGAAUUAGAAACCCGUGUAGUCC
rnacentral:rRNA from 1 species